rnacentral:lncRNA from 1 species
GAAAAGCCAAGUAUAAUUAAUAUAAAAGUUAUCUCACAGAUUCCGGUGGCCAACAAGUCGGAGUUGCCACUCUCGUUCGAGGAUGAGGCUUUGAGAGCCGAUGAUUUCUCCGGCACCCAACACCCACCGUUGCCAUCCAUUCCACCAUCACCACCCUCACUGCUGCUGCUGCUAACACUACUACUACUACUAGCUAUAUAUCUAUCUAUCUCUUUCUGUCUGUCUCUGUUUCCAUGGAAUCAUACUACUUCUUCUUCUCCUUCUUCUUCUUACUUCUUCUGGGAACAUAGGCUGUGAUGAUACGUCCAGAGAGUUUUUAAUCGGACGGCGAUUUUUGAGGUGCAGGUCUCAGUUCACUAGGUCUGGCUGUUGGGCGUGGCGAUCGAGGCUGGCAGAACUAGCUGCUCCGAUUUCGCAGCCAUCAACUGCCGGUGAUCAUGCGGGCUUCCUACCUUGGACCACCGCCGUCUGAUUAACAAAUGGAAGAUCUGAGCCCUACGAAAUUAUUCACAUUUUCAGUUUUUUUUCCAAGCUAACUCUACUGUUUACUUGGCAUUUUUAAUCAUGGGUUGAUGUCUUCACAACUCUGUAUCCGUUCCAGCCAGUCAGCCACCGGCAAACUUAAAUUUUGUAACAAUAAUUUACACAUGAACUUGUUCCCCCAUGCAUAUUUAUGCUUGGCUUCUUUAAGCCAUAACUGAAUGCAUAUACAUAGUCAGUGAAAUGAAGCUGUGAACUGAAAUGAAUCUGUGUUCACAAGAUUCAUGUAAUUUACAAGACAGACUACCUUCCCAAGUCCUAACACUUACCACAUAAUUGCUGUCAAGAGUCCAGAUUCAUGCAUAAAUUAAACGUUGAUCUUAAGUGAUGGGAAGUGUGAGUUCGUAUAUGACGAACGCGGCUAACUUGCAGGGAGCCGAUCGACAAUUAAUCCAGAUCUCCGGCCGAAUUAUCGGCGUCAAGACGGCGCUGAAUGGAUAUUCUGUGGGCUUUUUUAGAGGUUGUAUGGA